rnacentral:rRNA from 1 species
UACGUAGGGUGCAAGCGUUGUCCGGAAUUAUUGGGCGUAAAGGGCUCGUAGGCGGUCCAUCGCGUCGGGAGUGAAAAGCUGGGGCUCAACCCCAGUCCUGCUUUCGAUACGGGUGGACUAGAGGUAGGCAGGGGAGAACGGAAUUCCUGGUGUAGCGGUGAAAUGCGCAGAUAUCAGGAAGAACACCCGUGGCGAAGGCGGCUCUCUGGGACGGUACUGACGCUGAGACGCGAAAGCGUGGGGAGCGAACAGG